AUCAACUUUCGAUGGUAGGAUAGAGGCCUACCAUGGUAUCAACGGGUAACGGGGAAUUAGGGUUCGACUCCGGAGAGGGAGCCUGAGAAACGGCUACCACAUCCAAGGAAGGCAGCAGGCGCGCAAAUUACCCAAUCCCGACACGGGGAGGUAGUGACAAUAAAUACUGAUACAGGGCUCUUUUGGGUCUUGUAAUUGGAAUGAGUACAAUUUAAAUCCCUUAACGAGGAACAAUUGGAGGGCAAGUCUGGUGCCAGCAGCCGCGGUAAUUCCAGCUCCAAUAGCGUAUAUUAAAGUUGUUGCAGUUAAAAAGCUCGUAGUUGAAUUUUGGAUUCUGCCAGUUGGUCCAUCUUUUGAUGAGUACUGAUUGUGCGGGGUCUAUCCGCCUGGGGAUACGUAAUGUACUUUAUUGUAUGUUACGGGUAGUCAGGACCUUUACCUUGAAAAAAUUAGAGUGUUUAAAGCAGGCUUAUGCCGGAAUACAUUAGCAUGGAAUAAUGAAAUAGGACAUCCGAUUCUAUUUUGUUGGUUUCUAGGAUCGAUGUAAUGAUUAAUAGGGAUAGUUGGGGGGCAUUAGUAUUCAAUUGUCAGAGGUGAAAUUCCUGGAUUUAUUGAAGACUUAACUACUGCGAAAAGCAUUUGCCAAGGGAUGGUUUUCAUUAAUCAAGAACGAAAGUUAGGGGAUCGAAGACGAUCAGAAUACCGUCCUAGUCUUAACCAUAAACUAUGCCGACUAGGGAUCGGAAUAAUGUUAAUUUUUUAAAGGAACUCAUUGGCCUACGGGAAACCAAAGUGUUUGGGUUC
rnacentral:rRNA from 1 species